rnacentral:rRNA from 1 species
GUGGGGAAUCUUGCGCAAUGGGCGAAAGCCUGACGCAGCCAUGCCGCGUGAAUGAUGAAGGUCUUAGGAUUGUAAAAUUCUUUCACCGGGGACGAUAAUGACGGUACCCGGAGAAGAAGCUCCGGCUAACUUCGUGCCAGCAGCCGCGGUAAUACGAAGGGGGCUAGCGUUGCUCGGAAUUACUGUGCGUAAAGGGCGCGUAGGCGGACAGCUUAGUCAGAGGUGAAAGCCCAGGGCUCAACCUUGGAAUUGCCUUUGAUACUGGCUGUCUUGAGUUUGGGAGAGGUGAGUGGAACUCCGAGUGUAGAGGUGAAAUUCUUAGAUAUUCGGAAGAACACCAGUGGCGAAGGCGACUCACUGGCCCAAUACUGACGCUGAGGCGCGAAAGCGUGGGGAGUAAACAGGAUUAGAUACCCGGGUAGUCC